UUACUUCCGGAAGCUAAGAAGAAAUUGCCAUACAGAUUCUACCAACCUUUUUCAAGGAAGACCUGGUGAUGUAUUCAUCUCAAGUGACAAGGUUGAUACGAAGCCCAUGUACAUACGUGUAUCCUGCAAUCAAGAGGAAUCAUAUGAGCUUGUUCUGGAGGAGCAAAGAGUCUGUCAAGUCCAGGAUAAAGUGCAUGCAUUGGCUUGUUAAGUAGCUGGUUUUUAUUUUUCAUUCAGCCUAUGGCUGUGAGCCAUCAGUCAUGAAAAUUUGUAAGUUUUGCCAACUUGGAAUUCUUCAGGUGAAAGAUGCAUGUCCUGUUGAUAAAUCUGUUAUCAACCUUCUGAACAUGUUGAAGAAGAAAGUGCCCUCCAGACAAGGGAAGUAACU